UACGGGGGGGGCAAGCGUUGUUCGGAAUUACUGGGCGUAAAGGGUUCGUAGGUGGCCAACUAAGUCAGACGUGAAAUCCCUCAGCUUAACUGGGGAACUGCGUCUGAUACUGGUUGGCUUGAGUGCAGGAGAGGAACGCGGAAUUCCAGGUGUAGCGGUGAAAUGCGUAGAUAUCUGGAGGAACACCGGUGGCGAAGGCGGUUCUCUGGGCCUUACCUGACGCUGAGGAGCGAAAGCGUGGGGAGCGAACAGG
rnacentral:rRNA from 1 species